GCUAGGAUGAACGCUAGCUACAGGCUUAACACAUGCAAGUCGAGGGGCAGCAUUGGAGUAGCAAUACUCAGAUGGCGACCGGCGCACGGGUGAGUAACACGUAUCCAACCUGCCGCUUACUCGGGGAUAGCCUUCGAAAGAAAGAUUAAUACCCGAUGGUAUAAAGAGUUCGCAUGUUCUCUUUAUUAAAAGAAUUUCGGUAAGCGAUGGGAUGCGUUCCAUUAGAUAGUUGGCGGGGUAACGGCCCACCAAGUCUACGAUGGAUAGGGGUUCUGAGAGGAAGGUCCCCCACAUUGGAACUGAGACACGGUCCAAACUCCUACGGGAGGCAGCAGUGAGGAAUAUUGGUCAAUGGACGAGAGUCUGAACCAGCCAAAAGUAGCGUGAAGGAUGACUGCCCUAUGGGUUGUAAACUUCCUUUAUAAGGGAAUAAAGUGAGGGACGUGUCCCUUUUUGUAUGUACCUUAUGAAUAAGGAUCGGCUAACUCCGUGCCAGCCGCCGC
rnacentral:rRNA from 1 species